ACACACUGCACCUCGGAGCUUCAGUCUGUUCACAGGGUGUAAAGUUUGCUUGGGUUCAUCUUUAACUCUUACAUUCAGUCGUGAUGGAGAAUACCGGGUUCAUCUGUCUCCUGCUGUGUGUGAGCGUACACACGGCCAACAGCGAAACAUUUUGUCCAGAGAAAAACAUCUGUAUGCUUAAAUGUGGAGAGACUAACGGUAACGUGACCUGGAGCAGAGAUGUGGGUGGAAAAAGGGAGAAGAUUCUCAGCGUCUACAAGGACACGGUUAUCAAACACAUCACUGAUCCAGACAGACGUUACAGCUCAGGAAGACGUCUGAUUCUGAGUAUAUUUAAUGUCUCGUUCUCAGACUCUGGUCGAUAUUACUGUAAUGAGAACGCAGUGGAGGUCAGUGUGACAUCAAAGACUCUGAAAAUCAUGAAAACGGGGGAUUGGUUGACGGUAACAGCUUUAGUAGCCGGGGGUUGUGCGCUUGUUUUAGUGUCACUUCUGGUUCUGUGGAGGUGUUUCUCCAAAAGGAAAGGUAGCACCGCCAAAGUACAGCACGAUUCAGCUGAAAAAGAAUCUUUGGAUGAGAUACAUGUUUAUGAGUCAAUUUACGAGACUCCCUCAGCUCCUCAACCAGCAGCUCCACAGCAGAUCCCAAAAGAUGGAUUUUACUAUCUGGCUACACAUCCAGGAAUCCAGAACAGGCAUUAAAACACACACACACACACACACACACACACACACACACACACACACACACACACACACACACACAAAUACACAACAUGUCAACAUGUGGAUCUUCCUUCAAAGAGUGUGAAGGUAAAGGCAGUUUCUGAAUAGAAGUGUGGGCUGUAGGAGUUGGGGGUGGGGUGGGACUACUGAUUGACUGAGUUG
ensembl:lncRNA